CUGACUUCCAUGCCGUAGUUCAGCCUGGCUGCUGCCAUAGCAACACUGCUAAAACCUUCCCAAGCCAGCUAAAUGAAGCUGCCUAUACUGCUAGUGGAAUUUUUUGCUGUGGUUGUCCUGCUCGUUUCUGUUCUUGGCCUUCCAGUUCAGGCACUUGGGAGCUGUUGGUUGACAUUAUUUUCUUCACAAUGAGAAGAGUAAAGUACCAGAGAAGGAGAAACACACUUCAGACUGUGGCGAGAAGAAUGUGUACAAGCCCAAGUUUAUAAAAAUAAACAGUCUAGAAGAGUUUAACAAUUCCCACCUUAAAGAAAGGAGGCAAAGAAUGGAUGUGACAGAAAUUUCUAAGGACAUUGAAACAGGCCGCCAUUGACUUUCUAAAGUGCUGUAUACUAUACCAUGUCUAGCGUGGACCACCUUACUGCCAUAUGAGAGACCACCAUGGUAAUAUUUGAUUGUAUAUGAUGAGAAAGGAAAUGUUUUGUACUCCCUAAACUCCCCAACAUAGGGGCCCCUACCACAUAAUUGCUCUUUAUAUUCACUGUCUCCUGUUUUGCAUUAACUCAGUGAAGAUAUAAUAACUGAUUUCUGAGCUGAUUUGAACUUUGAUGGUUUAUAUUCACUAGGUGAUGCAAAUGCUUUAAACUAGGCUGCACUUAGUUUCAUUUUAAACAGUCAAAUGGAACAGUGAAACAGUAUAUUUAGUAAAAUAGGGUGUUGGGAUGUCAGGCACUGGUGAAACAAAUGUGACCCAUCAAAGCAUGACACAGAGCCACAGUGAGUGUCUUAUGAAUAAAACAAUACUUGACAAGUUAAGGUAACAGUAUGUGGAUUCAAUGAGAAGACACAAGUGGGCAAAUGCAAGAAAACAUUUAUUUCUAUAAGUAUAGUAGACGAUGCAACAAAAAUGUGGUGAUUUUGUUCAAGAAUGCAUGGCACAAACAUCAGUGACAGAAUAAGGUGUUUCUUAAGCAGGGCAUGCAACUUAUCUAGUAAGGAAGGAGAUGGAAGAAUUGCUCAACUUUGUGGUCUUUAUUUGCUGUCAAAUGCUGUUUCACGCUACUGUUAUGUUGAUUUUUCUUUGUAUGACCAGGAAAAUGCCCCACAUCUUGGAUUCAACGAGGGAACAUACCAGCCUAUGGUGCUUAUGAUAAGCAACGUGUGAUCACUGGAUUAGCUUUCUAGUACAUACACACAUACAUAAAUAAAGAUAAGGAGUGAUGUGAGGCCAAGAAGUAGUAAGUAAAGCAUUAGUCAUACAAACUGUAGCUGAAACACAAAUGCAAGGUGAUAAACUACAGUGCAGUAAUGUAACAGUAAUAUGGUCUUCUUACUCAAAGGCUGCAAACUAAAGUUGGCUCAGUCAGAGAAACAGAAUAAAACUUCACUGAUAUUUAUUAGGAGUGGGGAAA